rnacentral:rRNA from 1 species
AACGGCCAUACCAUGCUGAAUAUACCGGUUCUCGUUAGAUCACCGAAGUCAAGCAUCAUUGGCGCGGUCAGUACUUGGGUGGGUGACCACCUGGGAACACCGUGUGCCGUU